CACAAGGAAGUAAGUCACUCCUGGGAGAAAUGACCAGUAGGGCUGUAGCCAGACAACUGAAGCAUACAAAGCAUAUCAUCUCAGCUUCAAUGGGGGUGUCAAAGUGGCUUGGAGAAAUGAGCUUGAAGACUACUGUAUGCAUCGAGGUGGAAGAUGAUAGUCACAAAGACUCAAGAAACAGCAGUGGAGAUUCUGAGAUGUAAUAAAAGGGAUAGUUGCUGAAAUAAAUUUUAUAAAAAUUGG